rnacentral:rRNA from 1 species
UCUCAACUUUAUUAGAAGAGACGCAUUUAUUAGAUAAAAAGCCAAUGCAUGCUUUUACAGUAUGGAAAUUGGUGAUUUAUAAUAACUUGGCAAAUCGCAAAGUGAAAACAGGCGAUAAAUCAUUCAAGUUUCUGACCUAUCAGCUUUCGACGGUAUGGUAUUGGCUUACCGUGGCAGUGACGGUUAACGGGGGAUUAGGGUUCGAUUCCGGAGAGGGAGCCUGAGAAACGGCUACCACAUCUAAGGGAGGCAGCAGGCGCGCAAAUUACCCAAUUCUAACAGUUUGAGAGAGGUAGUAACAAGAAAUAACAAUACAAGGCAAUUAAAAUGUUUUGUAAUUGGAAUGAUAGAAAUUUAAACCCUUUUUAAAGUAUCAAUUGGAGGGCAAGUCUGGUGCCAGCAGCCGCGGUAAUUCCAGCUCCAAUAGCGUAUAUUAAAAUUGUUGCAGUUAAAAAGCUCGUAGUUGAAGUUCUGCUAAAAGUAACCGGUCUGCUUUUAAUAAAAGUGGUAUCUUGGUGUGUAUUUAGCAAUGAUGUCCUUUGAAGUGUUUUUUACUUUAUUGUAAUAAAGCAUAUUCAGGACUUUUACUUUGAGAAAAUUAGAGUGUUUCUAGCAGGCCGACGCUUUGAAUACUGCAGCA